AACGAACGCUGGCGGCAUGCCUAACACAUGCAAGUCGAACGAGACCUUCGGGUCUAGUGGCGCACGGGUGCGUAACGCGUGGGAACCUGCCCUUAGGUUCGGAAUAACUCCCCGAAAGGGGUGCUAAUACCGGAUAAUGUCUUCGGACCAAAGAUUUAUCGCCUUUGGAUGGGCCCGCGUUGGAUUAGCUAGUUGGUAGGGUAAAAGCCUACCAAGGCGACGAUCCAUAGCUGGUCUGAGAGGAUGAUCAGCCACACUGGGACUGAGACACGGCCCAGACUCCUACGGGAGGAAGCAGUGGGGAAUAUUGGACAAUGGGCGAAAGCCUGAUCCAGCAAUGCCGCGUGAGUGAUGAAGGCCUUAGGGUUGUAAAGCUCUUUUACCCGGGAGGAUAAUGACAGUACCGGGAGAAUAAGCUCCGGCUAACUCCGUG
rnacentral:rRNA from 1 species